AACGAACGCUGGCGGCAUGCCUAACACAUGCAAGUCGAACGAGACCUUCGGGUCUAGUGGCGCACGGGUGCGUAACGCGUGGGAACCUGCCCUUAGGUUCGGAAUAACUCCCCGAAAGGGGUGCUAAUACCGGAUAAUGUCUUCGGACCAAAGAUUUAUCGCCUUUGGAUGGGCCCGCGUUGGAUUAGCUAGUUGGUAUGGUAAAAGCCUACCAAGGCGACGAUCCAUAGCUGGUCUGAGAGGAUGAUCAGCCACACUGGGACUGAGACACGGCCCAGACUCCUACGGGAAGCAGCAGUGGGGAAUAUUGGACAAUGGGCGAAAGCCUGAUCCAGCAAUGCCGCGUGAGUGAUGAAGGCCUUAGGGUUGUAAAGCUCUUUUACCCGGGAUGAUAAUGACAGUACCGGGAGAAUAAGCUCCGGCUAACUCCGUG
rnacentral:rRNA from 1 species